rnacentral:rRNA from 1 species
UACGUAGGGUGCGAGCGUUGUCCGGAAUUAUUGGGCGUAAAGAGCUCGUAGGCGGUUUGUUGCGUCUGUCGUGAAAACCUGCAGCUUAACUGUGGGCUUGCGGUGGAUACGGGCAGACUUGAGUUCGGUAGGGGAGACUGGAAUUCCUGGUGUAGCGGUGAAAUGCGCAGAUAUCAGGAGGAACACCGGUGGCGAAGGCGGGUCUCUGGGCCGAUACUGACGCUGAGGAGCGAAAGCGUGGGGAGCGAGCAGG